rnacentral:rRNA from 1 species
GGCAGCAGUGGGGAAUAUUGCACAAUGGGCGAAAGCCUGAUGCAGCAACGCCGCGUGAGUGAUGAAGGCCUUCGGGUCGUAAAACUCUGUCCUCAAGGAAGAUAAUGACGGUACUUGAGGAGGAAGCCCCGGCUAACUACGUGCCAGCAGCCGCGGUAAUACGUAGGGGGCUAGCGUUAUCCGGAUUUACUGGGCGUAAAGGGUGCGGAGGCGGUCUUUCAAGUCAGGAGUGAAAGGCUACGGCUCAACCGUAGUAAGCUCUUGAAACUGGGAGACUUGAGUGCAGGAGAGGAGAGUGGAAUUCCUAGUGUAGCGGGGAAAUGCGUAGAUAUUAGGAGGAACACCAGUUGCGAAGGCGGCUCUCUGGACUGUAACUGACGCUGAGGCACGAAAGCGUGGGGAGCAAACAGGAUUAGAUACCCUGGUAGUCCACGCUGUAAACGAUGAGUACUAGG